rnacentral:rRNA from 1 species
CAUGUAGGCGGUCUGCUAAGUUCGGAGUGACAGUCACCAGCUUAACUGGUGAAGUGUUUCGAAAACUGGCUGACUUGAGAACGAGAGAGGGACAUGGAAUUCCGGGUGGAGCAGUGAAAUGCGUAGAGAUCCGGAGGAACACCAAAGGCGAAGGCGGUGUCCUGGCUCGUUUCUGACGCUGAGGUGCGAAAGCCAGGGGAGCGAACGGGAUUAGAUACCCCGGUAGUCCUGGCCGUAAACGAUGACCACCAGGCGUGGGAGGGAUCGACCCUUCCGUGCCGUAGUCAACACAUUAAGUGGUCCGCCUGGGGAGUACGGUCGCAAGACUAAA